rnacentral:lncRNA from 1 species
AAGAGGCCACCGACAAUAGUAGUAGUAGCAGCGGGCGCUUGUACAACGCGCUACUGCUAAGUGGAAUUGCAGUAGCGCUUGGUCAGAUCCAGCGCUACUGACAAGUUAGUAGUAGCUCCGGUGCGGAUCCAGCGCUACUGCUAGAUUUAGUUAACCGGCUAACUCGAUCCCCUCUCCCCCACUCCUUCCCUCUCCGUUCGACCGACCCUCUGUCCCUCUCGCCUGUGAUCCAUCGCGCUGCUUCUUCCCUCUCCGCCGCUGACCCCCUCCAAGCACCGUCGUGCCACCUCCACACGUCGCCGCCCCCUCCAAGCGUCGUCGGGCCACCUCCACGCGCCGUUGGUCGACUACCUCCCCUCCCG